UCGUUGCUUUCGUCCGUCUGUCCGCUAGUUCGCUCUCCCUUGGAUUAAGUAGCGCAGGAUAAAGCUGCAAAUUCACGCACCGGAUGGAAACUAGGGGAACGCCGCCCCCCCCCCCCUGCGUACCAUCACUGACUUUGCAGGUCGAGAAGCAUCUGUGCAUAGAAACAGAAAUCAGAAGCUAAGAAUUUGGCACAUACUGAGCCAAAUUGAUCCAGCUGACAGUCAAAUGUUCAAUGUGGCAAAGAACUAAGAGGGAGACUGAUGCACCACAUCCAAACCCUUAGCUUGAUGGCAAGAAGGACUGGCCUUCGACCAACAACCACCCUACUUGCUGACCUUGUGGAAAUUCAUGUCUAGAUUGGUGCUCAACUGCUGACAACGUUCUACCGCUGCACCACAGAGAGCAUAUUAACGUAUGGCAUCUCUGU